GAAAUCUUAUAUGCAUAGUAAUUGAC
rnacentral:tRNA from 2 species